UAAUACAAUGAAUUUGAUUGAUUACAAAUGCUAGAGAUACAUGAAUAAUGUUUAGAAGUGAGAAGAAAGACUUGUUGAUAUUUGGUCCCAAAUGGGAUAAGAACCCAAAACCAUUGCUUUGAGGCAGUGAAUGGCUUGUAUAAAGUUAUUUUGGGUUAGAAUAUGUUAUAAUACAAUGAAUUUGAUUUAUUAUAAGUGCUAGAGAUGCAUGAAGAAUGUUUAAAAGUGAGAAGAAAGACUUGUUGAUAUUUGGUCCCAAAUGGGAUAAGAACCCAAAACCAUUGCUUUGAGGCAGUGAAUGGCUUGGAUUAAGUUAUUUUGGGUUAGAAUAUGUAAUAAUACAAUGAAUUUGAUUGAUUACAAGUGCUAGAGAUACAUGAAUAAUGUUUAGAAGUGAGAAGAAAGACUUGUUGAUAUAAGGUCCCAAAUGGGAUAAGAACCCAAAACCAUUGCUUUAUGGCAGUGAAUGGCUUGUAUAAAGUUACUUUGGGUUAGAAUAUGUUAUAAUACAAUGAAUUUGAUUUAUUAUAAGUGCUAGAGAUGCAUGAAGAAUGUUUAAAAGUGAGAAGAAAGACUUGUUGAUAUUUGGUCCCAAAUGGGAUAAGAACCCAAAACCAUUGCUUUGAGGCAGUGAAUGGCUUGUAUAAAGUUACUUUGGGUUAGAAUAUGUUAUAAUACAUUGAAUUUGAUUGAUU
rnacentral:lncRNA from 1 species